rnacentral:rRNA from 1 species
AUUGAACGCUGGCGGCAGGCCUAAUACAUGCAAGUCGAGCGAGCGGCGGACGGGUGAGUAAUGUAUGGGGACUGCCCGCUAGAGGGGGAUAACUACUGGAAACGGUAGCUAAUACCGCAUACUAUCGGAUAACCCAUAUGGGAUUGGCUAGUUGGUGAGGUAAUGGCUCAACAAGGCGACGAUCCCUGGCUGGUCUGAGAGGAUGAUCAGACAAACUGGGACGGAGACACGGCCCAGACUCCUACGGAGGAAGCAGUGGGGAAGAUUGCGCAAGGGGCGCAAGCCUGAUGCAGCCAGGCCGCGUGUAUGAAGAAGGCCCUAGGGUUGUAAAGUACUUUCAGUCGGGAGGCGUUACCGACAGAAGAAGCACCGGCUAACUCCGUGCCAGCCGCCGCGGUAAUUC